rnacentral:sRNA from 1 species
AGCUCAAUCCCAGAGCUUAUAUUGAAUAUCUUGUGGGAUAUGAUUCUACAAACAUCUUUGGAAUUUGGAUUCCUCAUCUAGAUAGGGUGAUAAGGACAAGAGAUGUUAUAUUCGAUGAAAAUAGGAAAUACAAUCCAGAUGAACCUCAUAUUGAAAAACAGUUGCGAGAUUGGGUUGUUCAAGAGAUUGAAUUCUUGGAUAUCGAGGUUAAAGAACCAAGGGUUGGCACUCCUCAGCAGGAGGAUAAUCUAUACUCAGAUAUUGAUAUUUUUCGUCCCGAUGAGAUCCCACCACGUACGGAGAACACUGAUAAAGAUAGCAA